rnacentral:rRNA from 1 species
AGUGAACGCUGGCGGUAGGCCUAACACAUGCAAGUCGAACGGCAGCACAGUAAGAGCCUGCUCUUACGGGUGGCGAGUGGCGGACGGGUGAGGAGUACAUCGGAAUCUACUUUUUCGUGGGGGAUAACGUAGGGAAACUUACGCUAAUACCGCAUACGACCUACGGGUGAAAGCAGGGGAUCUUCGGACCUUGCGCGAUUGAAUGAGCCGAUGUCGGAUUAGCUAGUUGGCGGGGUAAAGGCCCACCAAGGCGACGAUCCGUAGCUGGUCUGAGAGGAUGAUCAGCCACACUGGAACUGAGACACGGUCCAGACUCCUACGGGAGGCAGCAGUGGGGAAUAUUGGACAAUGGGCGCAAGCCUGAUCCAGACAUACCGCGUGGGUGAAGAAGGCCUUCGGGUUGUAAAGCCCUUUUGUUGGGAAAGAAAAGCAGCAGGUUAAUACCCCGCUGUUCUGACGGUACCCAAAGAAUAAGCACCGGCUAACUUCGUG